GCGGGAGUGGCGGAAUGGCAGACGCGCUAGAUUCAGGUUCUAGUAGGAGUUAUCCUGUGAGAGUUCAAGUCUCUUCUUCCGCA
rnacentral:tRNA from 1 species